UAGGGAAUCUUCCGCAAUGGACGCAAGUCUGACGGAGCAACGCCGCGUGAGUGAAGAAGGAUUUCGGUUCGUAAAACUCUGUUGUUAGAGAAGAACAGCGCAUAGAGUAACUGUUAUGCGUGUGUCGGUAUCUAACCAGAAAGCCACGGCUAACUACGUGCCAGCAGCCGCGGUAAUACGUAGGUGGCAAGCGUUGUCCGGAUUUAUUGGGCGUGAAGCGAGCGCAGGCGGUCAAUUAAGUCUGAUGUGAAAGCCCCCGGCUCAACCGGGGAGGGUCAUUGGAAACUGGUUGACUUGAGUGCAGAAGAGGAGAGUGGAAUUCCAUGUGUAGCGGUGAAAUGCGUAGAUAUAUGGAGGAACACCAGUGGCGAAGGCGACUCUCUGGUCUGUAACUGACGCUGAGGCUCGAAAGCGUGGGUAGCAAACAGG
rnacentral:rRNA from 1 species